UAUCCCUACGGGAGGCAGCAGUGGGGAAUAUUGGACAAUGGGGGGAACCCUGAUCCAGCGACGCCGCGUGAGUGAAGAAGUAUUUCGGUAUGUAAAGCUCUAUCAGCAGGGAAGAAAGAAAUGACGGUACCUGACUAAGAAGCCCCGGCUAACUACGUGCCAGCAGCCGCGGUAAUACGUAGGGGGCAAGCGUUAUCCGGAUUUACUGGGUGUAAAGGGAGCGUAGACGGCGUGCCAAGUCUGAUGUGAAAGGCCGGGGCUCAACCCCGGGACUGCAUUGGAAACUGGCAUGCUGGAGUGCCGGG
rnacentral:rRNA from 1 species